AUGCAUGUGUAAGCACAUACUUUAACACAGUGAAGCUGCGAAUGGCUCAUUACAUCGGCUAUUAUUUAUUAGAUCAUACCAAGUUACUUGGAUAACUGUGGCAAUUCUAGAGCUAAUACAUGCAACACGGCUCCGACCUCUCGGGAAGAGCGAGUUUAUUAGAUCAAAACCAAUCGGGCCUCGGCUCGAGAGUUGGUGACUCUGGAUAACUUUGAUCUGAUCGCAGGGCCUUGUGCCGGCGACAUUUCUUUAAAGUGUCCGACCUAUCAACUUUCGUCGGUAAGUGACUUGCUUACCGAGGUUGUGACGGGUAACGGGGAAUCAGGGUUCGAUUCCGGAGAGGGAGCAUGAGAAACGGCUACCACA
rnacentral:rRNA from 1 species